rnacentral:rRNA from 1 species
UGGGGGAUAUUGCACAAUGGGGGGAACCCUGAUGCAGCGACGCCGCGUGAGUGAAGGAGUACUCCGGUAUGUAAAGCUCUAUCAGCAGGGACGAAGGAAGACGGUACCUGAGUAAGAAGCCCCGGCUAACUACGUGCCAGCAGCCGCGGUAAUACGUAGGGGGCAAGCGUUAUCCGGAUUUACUGGGCGUAAAGGGAGCGUAGACGGCGAGACAAGUCUGGAGUGAAAGCCCGUGGCCCAACCGCGGGACUGCUCUGGAAACUGCCUGGCUGGAGCGCAGGAGGGGUGAGCGGAAUUCCUGGUGUAGCGGUGAAAUGCGUAGAUAUCAGGAGGAACACCGGCGGCGAAGGCGGCUCACUGGACUGCAGCUGACGUUGAGGCUCGAAGGCGUGGGGAGCAAACAGG